AAAACAGGCUGCAUGACACUGAUAAAUGAUUACUGCCAGAGUAACAUUCACAUACAGGUAGAAAAAGUGCGUGCACUCGCAUGUAUGGUUGCCAGACUGCAUAAGUUAAGAAUGACAUAAGUAGAAUUUGGAGAUACUUGAAUAUAAAGAUUUGAACCAGGAGUUUGAAUAUCUUCUAUGUAGAUGUUCUGAUGGAUGGCUGCAGCUAAAGGUUCAAUGAAAAUGGUGAAUAGAGAAGGAGAGAGUGGGCAUUCUUGCCUAGUCCCCCUGAGCAAUGUGAAGCUGUGUGAGGUUUGUCUGUUAGUGAUAACCGUGGCUGAAGGAGCAGUGUACAAAAUCUUGACCCAAUUAAUAAAUUAUUCUCUAAAGCCAAAUCUUUGUAAUGUUGUAAAGAGACAUUUCCAGUUUACUCUGUCAAAGGCCUUUUCUGCAUCCAAAGUGGCUACGAUGGUACCUGCUUGUUGUAAUGAUGAAUAAUACAUUAAAUUAAACAGUCUGUGUGUGUUACUGGAUGCGUGCCUUCCUUUGAUAAAGCCGGUUUGAUCUGAGUGAAUUAUAGACGGAAUGACUUUCUCUAUUCUGUGAGCUAGUGCCUUAGUGAUGAUUUUUAUAUCUACGUUGAUGAGAGAAAUGGGACAUUAACUUGAUGGCAAGGUUGGAUCUUUGUUGGGCUUUAAGAGGAAUAUUAGCUGGAAAUCUUGAAUUUGUUUUAUUUCAAGUAUUAGUUUAUUAAAGAGCGGAGAGAGAAUAGACCAGAAGUGUUUAUAGAACUCAGCAGGGAAGCCAUCGGGUCCUGGUGGUUUGUUGUUUGGCAUACACUUGAGGGCUUUGGAAAGUUCCUCCUGUGUUAUUGGUAAAUCCAGUAUGUCAGUUUGAUUUUUUUUAAGCUGUGGUAAAUCAAUGCUUUUGAGAAAUGAGUUGAUAUCCUCUUGAUUUGGGUCCUUCUCUGAUGAAUAUAGAUUGGCGUAAAAAUUUCUGAAGAUUUUAUUUAUUUAUUCGGGUGAGUUUAUAGGCUUCCCUGCUGAGUCUUUAAUGAUGGAGAUUGUUGUUUUUUCUUUAUUUUGUUUAAUUUGAUUUGCCAAGUAUUUACCAGAUUUAUUAUUAUGGUGAAAUUCUUCUUGUCGAAGUCUGUUUAUGAGGAAUUGAGUUUUCUUAUUUAUAAUUUCAUUUAGUUGGAGUUUAUAUUCUCUAAAUUCAUUUUGGGUUUCCUCAGAUGGGUCACUUGCAUUAAUAAUUUUGAGAUGCUUGUUAUUUUUCCUUCCUUUUUUUAUAGAUAGAGAAUGAAAUUAUCUGACCUCUUGAUACUGCCUUUCCUGUUUCCCACAGAAGAGAUGGUGAUGACUUUGAAGAAUCAUUUAUUUCAAGGAAGGAUGCCCACUAUUUUCUAAAAAGAACUGUCAAACUCAGGGUCUUUAAGGAGAGAUGUAUUAAAGCGCCAUCUAGAGAUGGGUUUAUGUCGAUCGGUUCUAUUCCAUGUAAAAGAUACUGUGGCAUGGUCACUUAUAAUGAUGGGGUGGAUCUUUGAGUCUGAAAUAUUCUAUAUAAUUGAAUUGCUGGUGAGAAAAAAUCAAUGCGAAAUGAGUGGAGAACCGGUGAGAAAAAUGGGUAUUCUCUAGCAGUUGGAUGCUGCAAUCGCCAACUAUUGCCAAGACCAAAAUCGCUUAUGAACUGUUUUAUUGUUUCCAUGGAUUGCCAGUUACAUUUAUUGUUUGAAAUGUUAGAUCGGUCUAGUGAUGAGUUGAUAACUGUGUUGAAGUCACCUCCUAUUUUGACUGGGCAAUUGGAAGUGUUUGAGAUGGAAGAAAAAAAUUAUGAAAAAAAGAUGGGUCAUCAGUGUUUGGGCCAUAAACAUUACAGAUUGUUACUGAACUAUUAUUGAUUGAUAUGUUUAUGAUAAUAAAACGUCCUUCAGGAUCUGUGAUAGUAGUAUUAUGGACAAAUGAAACUUUUUUUUUUAUUAAGAUACAUACUCCUCUUUGUUUUGAGUUGUAAUGGCAUUCAUAAUCAUUCUGCAAACGUGCCUCAUCUCCCCACAGUAUUCAAGCUCACCUCGCCGCACAGCCCUGAUAACUAUGAAGCAAGCGCUUCUACAAACUUCUACUCAUCUCUAGACCAUAACAUGACAUUCUCUCCUCCUGCCCAUGACAAACGCUUCACGCAGUUAAAAUCAAUCCAUCGUUUUUUUUUUACAGGGAAGUCCUCUCUACUUUUGCCCAAAUCAUUUGAUUACAAACUCUUAACAAGCUAGACCAUAGAACCUAAUUGCUGCAUGACUUUAAAAGCAUUCAACAAUCUGUCAUAAUCUUACAUUCCACCCAAGUUUAAAGUAACGGGUUUACUACCACCCCUGGAGUCGCGAGUUCGAAUCCAGGGCAUGACUCCAGCCAGACCAAAUUGGCCCGGUUGCUAGGGAGGGUAGAGUCACAUGGUGUAACCUCCUUAUGGUCAUGACUAGGGGUUCUCGCUCUCAAUGGGGCAUGUGGUAAGUUGUGCGUGGAACGUGGAGAGUAGCAUGAGCCUCCCGUGCUGUGAGUCUCCGCAGUGUCAUGCAUAACGAGCUACGUGAUAAGAUGUGCAGAUUAGUAUAAGACUAAUAUAAAGUCUCAGAAGCAGAGGCAACUGAGACUUGUCCUCCGCCACCCGGAUUGAGGUGAGUAACCGCGCCACCAUGAGGAACUACUAAGUAGUGGGAAUUGGGCAUUCCAGGGAGAAAAGGGGAAAGUAACAGGUUUAAAUCGACGUCGGUUGAUUCAGCUUUGCACUUUGCUUCAUACUCACAAUAUUUAAGUUUUUCUGUAGAAUUUAUUACACGUCAUCAAUAUAAACAAGUCAUUUUAUUCACCACACAACUGCAAAUUGUGCCCAUAUAGUAUCUUUUAAAUCCUACCCUCAGGCAUAAACUCCAAAUGAUUCCAUACGUCCUCGUCAAAAUGAGACGAGUCACCCCGUGCCAAUAAUACAGAGUUCAUGAAAUUACUCGCAUUAUGUUGGAAAACAAUCUACAAAGCUCCAAACCAUACGCUUAAGUUAAAUAAACAUCAGACUAUGGUAUUUAUCUGGGUAAUUAGUUUCAGGUGCCUUCUAAUUCCAUGACAAACCAACUUUAAAUGAAGUUGUACGUAUGCACACGCAAGCAUAUUCCUGACAUCGCUUCCCAUAUGUUCCCGACAUUUAAUCUAGCAAACAGCUAAGUUUAAGGCGUCCGCAGACCAGGCCCGUUUCCAGAUCAAAAUCACUGAGGGUGCUUCUGAAAAUUGUGGGGGUGCUCUGUAUAAAGUGGAGAUGUAUCAUAAUUACAAAUUUUUUAAUAGAUUAAAUCAUGUUUAAAUGCUACUUAAACAACAUAAAGAAAAGUUUGUUUUUUUAAUGUAGAAAACAUUUAUUGCCUCAGGGUUUUUUUUCCCCAUGAUCUGUCGCUGAAAAUGACAGCAAAAUCAUUCACGUUUAUACAUUUUGAUGCAGCAUUUUGUGCAUUCACAAAAUGCAAGGAUUUUUGUGUGUUUGCUGGUAUUCAAGAAAAUCUGCUUGCCAGUUUACAGUAUUAGUCUUACAUAUUCAGUUGAGCAGGGGUGUGCAAUUAUUUUAGUACUGGGGCCACAUCAGUCGUUAAGUAGAACAUGGAACAGAGAAGAUAAAAAGUUCUGCAUAGUUUUAUCUUUUAAGCCCAGACAUGCACUCAAUGUGUAUACUGAUGGGACCAUUCUGCGAUUGCUUGAAGU